CGCCUGUUUAUCAAAAACAUCUUUUCUUGUUAGUUUUUGAAGUAUGGCCUGCCCGCUGACUUGAGUGUUGAAGGGCCGCGGUAUUUUGACCGUGCAAAGGUAGCAUAAUCAUUAGUUCUUUAAUUGUGAUCUGGAAUGAAUGGCUUGACGAGGCACUGGCUGUCUUAGUGAUGAAUGUUUUAUUGAAUUUGGUCUUUGAGUUAAAAUUCUUAAAUGUUUUUGUGGGACGAGAAGACCCUAUAGAGUUUUACAUUUGGUUUGUUUAUUUCUUUGUUGUUUGUUUUGUUUUUGGUAAGCGGGCUUUUUGUUUUGUUGGGGUGAUGAGAGGAAUAUAAUUUAACUCCUCUUGGUUUUGGUUAUAUUGAUUUGUAUUUAUUUGAUCCAUUUAUUUUGAUUAUAAGACUAAAUUACCUUAGGGAUAACAGCGUAA
rnacentral:rRNA from 1 species